rnacentral:rRNA from 1 species
UACGGAGGGAGCAAGCGUUACUCGGAAUUAUUGGGCGUAAAGGGCGCGUAGGCGAUCUGACAAGUCUGGUGUGAAAGCCCACAUGUUAACUGUGGAAGUGCAUUAGAAACUGUUGGAUUUGAGUUCAGGAGAGGAAGGCAGAAUUCCCGGUGUAGCGGUGAAAUGCGUAGAGAUCGGGAGGAAUACCAGUGGCGAAGGCGGCCUUCUGGACUGACACUGACGCUGAGGUGCGAAAGCGUGGGGAACAAACAGG